GAUAAACGCUGGCGGCGUGCUUCAGGCAUGCAAGUCGAACGGACUUACGGCUUCGGCCGUGAGUUAGUGGCGGACGGGUGAGUAACACGUAAGUAACCUGCCCAGAAGUGGGGAAUAACCCACCGAAAGGUGAGCUAAUACCGCAUAUGAUGGCAUUUCUCUGGAGAAGUCAUCAAAGGCUUAGGUCGCUUCUGGAGGGGCUUGCGGUCGAUUAGCUAGUUGGUGGGGUAAUGGCCUACCAAGGCGACGAUCGAUAGCUGGUCUGAGAGGACGGUCAGCCACACGGGGACUGAGAUACGGCCCCGACACCUACGGGUGGCUG
rnacentral:rRNA from 1 species